UACGAAGGGGGCUAGCGUUGUUCGGAUUUACUGGGCGUAAAGAGCACGUAGGCGGAUAUUUAAGUCAGAGGUGAAAUCCCAGGGCUCAACUCUAGAACUGCCUUUGAUACUGGAUAUCUCGAGUAUGGAAGAGGUGAGUGGAAUUCCGAGUGUAGAGGUAAAAUUCGUAGAUAUUAGGAGGAACACCAGUGGCGAAGGCGGCUCACUGGUCCAUUACUGACGCUGAGGUGCGAAAGCGUGGGGAGCAAACA
rnacentral:rRNA from 1 species